ensembl:lncRNA
CCUCCUAAUUUCACAGUAGCUCUAAGAGGCAGGUGCUACAUUUUUUAUAGGUGAAGAAACUGAGGCAUAGAAGGGUCAUGUGAUCCGUCCACAUCAAACCGUUGGAAUUAGAACCCGGGAGUUUCUGAAUUCAAGUCUGUCACUUGUUGGUUAUACCUGUUUUCUGCCUGUGAAGAUGGGCAGCCUCCAGUGCAGGUGAGGAGGGGCCCCCUCAAAGUGGUUUGUUUUUUGUCUUGUUUGCAUGUUCAUUAAAAAUUUUUUUUAAUGUUUAUUUAUAUUUUAGAGUGCAAGCUGGGGAGGAGCAGAGAGAGAAGGAGACAGAGGAUCUGAGGCAGGGGCUCAAACCCAUGAGCCGUGAGAUCAUGACCUGAGCCGAAACCAAGAGUUGAUGCUUAACUGACUGAGCCACCCAGGCCCCCUUGUUUGCAUGUUCUAACAGGCAACGUCACCGACCUCACUGGGCAGACUGGCGACAAGGAGCCAGGCAGCACCGAGGUGCGAGGAGAAAGAGGCCUCCACAGAGUGCCAAGCCUGUCCCUGUGACACCCACGUCCCACAAAGAUGGAGGGGCAAGAAGGGGGAUACUGCACAGCGGACGUGACCCGGUUUGGAGGCUUUUUAAAGCCACAUUACCUACUGGAAGUACACCUUCCUCCCCGUGCCAGAUGUGUAUGUGCGCGUCCUCAUAAGGAAAGGACACAGGACGUCAGGGUUCACGCCGAUGUCUGGGCCGAGCUGCAUCCCAGGGCUGGAACUGAGGCGGAGAGAGGAAGGAUUUGCAAGACCAAGCUGAAGAAGGUCAUUUCAGGAAGAAGGCCACCUGCUGAGAUCAGAGGGGAGCCUACCUGUCCUCAAAAUGCAGGCACCUGUGAAGCUGGCAGAGAGCAGGAGAGCCUGCCGCCCUCCCGCACCAGAGCAUGUGCCUCUGCUUGCCCUUCCUUGUGGCAAAGUCACAAAGCAGCCUUGGGUUUGAGUUGUGGACUUGACCUCUUGCUGCCACUGUGGGCCUGGCCUUUGAGAUCCAGUGUCUCCAUCUGCGGCUGGGGUCAUAUUGCUGAGUCACUUCAAGAAUAUGGCAAAGACUUCCUUUCUCUUCCAUUCCUGUCUCUCCCCCAUCCUCUCUUGCUGUCCUCCUCUGCCUCCAAGAUGAAACCCUAGAAUGGAUUAAGAUAUUUCUGAACAUUAAGGAUGUCGGGAAUAUAUCCAUAUGGACCAAAUCCAUCGGAAUGGACCAAACCUAUGUAAGGAUGUAGGGUACUUGAGAAUGUUAGCUUUUCAGGAAAAGUUUUCAAUGAAGUCAAAAUAGUGUUUUUCUUUAG